rnacentral:rRNA from 1 species
UUCUAUUAGAUUUUAUUAAUAGUAUAAUCUGCUCAAUGAUAUUAAAUAGCCGCUAUUACUGUGCUAAGGUAGCAUAAUCAUUUGUCUUUUAAUUAAAGACUAGAACAAAAGAUUGAACAUUUUAAUUAAUAUAUUUAAAUUAAUUAAUUAAAUUUAUUUUAAAUGUAAAAAAACAUUUAUAAAUUAGAAAGACGAUAAGACCCUAUUAAACUUAACUUAAGUUAAACUGGGGCAGUUAAUUAAUUAUUACUUUAAUUUAAAUUAAAAAAUAAAUAGAUCCUAUAAAAUAGAUUAAAUGAUCAAGUUACUAUAGGGAUAACAGCGUAAUAUUAAUUAAAAGAUCUUAUUUAAAUAAAAGAUUACGACCUCGAUGUUGAAUUAAUAACCUAUAUAGUUGCAAUAAACAAUUAAAGGAAGUCUGUUCGACUUUUAAAAAAUUACA